GAAUUCGCCCUUAGAGUUUGAUCCUGGCUCAGGACGAACGCUGGCGGCGUGCCUAACACAUGCAAGUCGAACGGAGUUAGGUGCUUCGGUAUUUAACUUAGUGGCGAACGGGUGAGUAACGCGUGAGGAACCUGCCUUUCAGUGGGGGACAACAGUUGGAAACGACUGCUAAUACCGCAUGAUACUUUCAGAUCGCAUGGUCUGAAAGUCAAAGCUUUAUGUGCUGAAAGAUGGUCUCGCGUCUGAUUAGCUAGUUGGUGAGGUAACGGCUCACCAAGGCGACGAUCAGUAGCCGGUCUGAGAGGAUGAACGGCCACAUUGGGACUGAGAUACGGCCCAGACUCCUACGGGAGGCAGCAGUGGGGAAUAUUGGGCAAUGGGGGAAACCCUGACCCAGCAACGCCGCGUGAAGGAAGAAGGCUUUCGGGUUGUAAACUUCUUUUAGCAGGGACGAAGGACGUAACGGUACCUGCAGAAAAAGCAACGGCUAACUACGUGCCAGCAGCCGCGGUAAUACGUAGGUUGCAAGCGUUGUCCGGAUUUACUGGGUGUAAAGGGCGUGUAGGCGGAGAUGCAAGUUGGGAGUGAAAUCCCGGGGCUCAACCCCGGAACUGCUUUCAAAACUGUAUCCCUUGAGUGUCGGAGAGGCAAGCGGAAUUCCUAGUGUAGCGGUGAAAUGCGUAGAUAUUAGGAGGAACACCAGUGGCGAAGGCGGCUUUCUGGACUGUAACUGACACUGAGGCACGAAAGCGUGGGGAGCAAACAGGAUUAGAUACCCUGGUAGUCCACGCCGUAAACGAUGAGCACUAGGUGUCGGGGUCGCAAGACUUCGGUGCCGCAGUUAACGCAUUAAGUGCUCCGCCUGGGGAGUACGCACGCAAGUGUGAAACUCAAAGGAAUUGACGGGGACCCGCACAAGCAGCGGAGCAUGUGGUUUAAUUCGAAGCAACGCGAAGAACCUUACCAGGACUUGACAUCCCUCUGACAGAUUCUUAAUCGAAUCCUUCUUCGGACAGAGGAGACAGGUGGUGCAUGGUUGUCGUCAGCUCGUGUCGUGAGAUGUUGGGUUAAGUCCCGCAACGAGCGCAACCCUUGCCAUUAGUUGCCAUCAUUCAGUUGGGCACUCUAGUGGGACUGCCGGGGACAACUCGGAGGAAGGUGGGGAUGACGUCAAAUCAUCAUGCCCCUUAUGAUUUGGGCUACACACGUGCUACAAUGGCGUAAACAAAGGGAAGCAGAGCCGCGAGGCCGAGCAAAUCUCAAAAAUAACGUCUCAGUUCGGAUUGUAGUCUGCAACUCGAGUACAUGAAGUCGGAAUCGCUAGUAAUCGCAAAUCAGCUAUGUUGCGGUGAAUACGUUCUCGGGUCUUGCACUCACCGCCCGUCA
rnacentral:rRNA from 1 species